rnacentral:lncRNA from 1 species
GGGUUUAGGGUUUAGGGUUUAGUGAUUAGGAUUUAGGGUUUAGUGUUAUUAAAAUUUAGUUUUUAAUGUAUGAUUUAGGAUUUAAGAUUUUCCAACGAUUUAGAGUUUAUCCAAAGUUUAAGGUUUAACGUUUAGGAUUUAGGGUUUAGUAUUUAGGGUAUAGGGUUUAGUAUUUUUCUGAAGACUUAACAAUAUUAAUUUAUUUGUUUUUGUAACUAUUUUUAUGUAUUUUUAUUAUUUUAUUCUAUAAAUAUAAUCUAAUUUGGAUAUUUAAUUUUAUUACCGUUUUUAAAAAAUAGCAAAUAUUCAAACACUAUUGGAAGGUCAACCUCGGAAUGAACCCAAUAAUUUUUCAUAUAAGACACUGUUGUCUUUGUUUUAACGUGGAGAGACACUUCUAGCAUUUAAGACAUUUUAUCUGAACAGCUGGCAGUUUUUGGACAAAUUUGUCCUCACGAAUCACUGCUUUAAUAUACUUGGUUCGGUAAAAGUAACUACUUAUUUCUGGUUAGCUGAAAUGUAGUGACUUUGGUUUGGUUAUUAAAACUAAAGCAGGUUGGUAUAUGAGAAGUUGUGUAAUAAUUUUAGUCCCAAAUUUUAAAAUUCGUAAAGGGUUG